CUACGGGUGGCUGCAGUGGGGAAUCUUAGACAAUGGGGGAAACCCUGAUCUAGCCAUGCCGCGUGAGCGAAGAAGGCCUUAGGGUUGUAAAGCUCUUUCAGCUGGGAAGAUAAUGACGGUACCGGCAGAAGAAGCCCCGGCUAACUCCGUGCCAGCAGCCGCGGUAAUACGGAGGGGGCUAGCGUUGUUCGGAAUUACUGGGCGUAAAGCGCACGUAGGCGGAUCAGAAAGUUGGGGGUGAAAUCCCGGGGCUCAACCCCGGAACUGCCUCCAAAACUAUUGGUCUAGAGUUCGAGAGAGGUGAGUGGAAUUCCGAGUGUAGAGGUGAAAUUCGUAGAUAUUCGGAGGAACACCAGUGGCGAAGGCGGCUCACUGGCUCGAUACUGACGCUGAGGUGCGAAAGCGUGGGGAGCAAACAGGAUUAGAUACCCCAGUAGUC
rnacentral:rRNA from 1 species